AUUUGUUGACGAAAUAUCGAUUUAGCUCUGAUUUCAGCUAUGCUUGAACCAUCAUCAGUCAGUGACAACCGGGCAUUCAUAUCUCGUAAAGCAAACAGAGAUUUCCAGCUCAAAGCAUCAACUACAACAUUAGCCUUAUCUGGAUGAUAAUCAAUAACCAAUUCAUAAUCUUGUAUCAAUUCAAGCCAUCUGCGUUGUC
rnacentral:lncRNA from 1 species